AUCAGUGACGAAGAGUACCUGGGUUUCAUGGACCAGCUGCCUAGUGCUGCUUAUUACGUUGACUGCUCCCUUCGACCGGACAUGCUUCGCCGAAUUGAGGUGUAUGAGCGGCACGCGCUGUAUCGCAUCGAGCUUGCAAGUUGCUGCAAGGAAAGCCUGUUGGUCAGCUGGAUCAUGCUAAAUUGAGAAGCAAGUACCUACCAGAGCAUCUCAGGGAGAAGGGAUACUUUAUGUGCGAUGGCUCCUUUGGUUUCUUUUUCCAUCCCGAUCACUGCAAGCUUGCUGCCUUGGAUGACUACCAGCUCCUGGUCCUUCUUAAUGAUGGUGGUUAUGAGUAUUUAGAUUGGGAUGCCUACUGCUUGAGCUAUAACACCCACGAAAUUGAUCGGCAAUAUGUCAAGUACUGUGAAACAAUUUCAAAUCAAUUAAAGCAUUCUUACCUUGACAGUGGAUUGAAGAAUACGUUCAUCUAGAUUCGACAUGUCCUGAGGAAGUAUGGCCUAAUGAAUAACAUUAAAUUCAUAACCAUUUGAGCACCGUGAUUAACUUCUCUGCAAUUCAGUGGUGGAAGAUGAGGAAUAGAGCUGCUCGCCAAGCAUGAAGAUCGCAACAAGCUUUACGGAUAUUUCUGUGGGUCUAGUUUGUCUUGCUUUCAUGGAAUAUGCAUCCAGCAUAUGCCAUGAUUUUUAUACUCUCAAGGAGCUAGAUGGUGUCUAUUUUGAGAUUUGGAAGAGGGUCACAAAGCAACAGAGGAGUUUCGAAGAUGCUUUGAAGGAAGUCUACAAACUAAACAAGUUUCCGCUGUGCCAAGGUCUUCUGGCGUAUUGGCUGCAUUACGACUGCUCUCACUGGGAAACACAGUUUCGCUCUUGCACGGCUGGCAUCUAUGGGAGAGUCCCAGAGGAUAAAGCCGUUGAGCUGAUUGCAACGACACUUAAAAAGAUGUAUAAGAAGACAAAGGGAUAUGAACAAUACGCUAGAAAGAAGCUAAAGAUUGCAGAACUACUUGGGUGGCUCGAACAGCGAUAAUGAUUUUCCCAAGGCAGUCAACUGAAGCGUGGAGGUUGGAUUCAGCUAGCUCUUAUCAUGUGAUGCUCAAUAGGAAACGGUUCUCUUCAUUAAGUGUGGUGAUUUUGGUUUACUCUACUUGGGUGCUAACACGGACUGCUAUAUUGUUGGAGCAUGUGCCAUCAAAGUCAAGAUAUACAUGGAGUUUGCUUUGGAGAGUCAAGCAUGUGUAGAAAAGGAAUAUGAUUUUGCUUGGGAGAUUUUGAUGAUAGGAGAGAAAGGUGUACAGUUGCAGAUGGAGUCAUGAAGGAUGGAAUUGCAAGGAUAGCAGUGGUUCUUGAAGGUGGUGGGUCUGAGUAAAGUCAGACUCAUGAGGUAGCUCUUGUUGACCAGUGAAAGCGGCAUCUCAAGUCUAGUUUACAUGGAGGUUUGCACAUGACGGCUUCAUGCUUGUAGUAUAUUUCGUAAGGUGGGGUUUGGUGAAUAUGUGUCGAAUAUAAUGGAUGAGUCCGGUUACGAUAGGAUUUGGAGGUGUAAUUAACAGUAUAAGGUAGAGUUGUUGUAGGACUUUUGUAAUCUGAUCUCUUCAUAAAUAUGAUAGGACUGUUGUUGUAGCAGACAUGAUGACAUAAGGAUAAGUUUGUAGGAGGGUGGCGGUGGUUUGGCAGGGAUCCCGGGCAGCCGAUGCCGCGGUUAUGAGGAGCGUCGCGAGUAAUUGCUAUGGGAAUGUAGGUUUCGGUUAUACCUCGGCAAUAAAUAUUGUGCCUCCAGUAUCGUUUGUGAUUUUGCAUCGUUUGCAUCUGUAGAUCUAUGUUGCUGUGCAUGCUAAUUUUCUAACAGGUUUUUUACUGAGGUGAAAAGUAGCUUCUGAUUAGGUAAAGGAUUUGCGAU